rnacentral:lncRNA from 1 species
UUUCACCAGAGGGACUAGGUUUAAGUUAAAAUCUUGGUGAAAAUAAAUGUUGGAUUUUUAGGUUUACAAGUAUCAGGAUAAAAACUAAAUUACUGGUAUCACUGUUUAGGUAUUGUAAUAUCUAAAUUUUUAUUUUUUAGUGGUGAAAAAAAGUACCCUUAAAUAAUGAUCCCAGGGAAAACCUAGUAUAUACAUGACAAAAUGAUUCAUUUAUUAUUCGCAUGCUUAGUUUAAACCUCAAUUUGCCAAAGUCAACUCUUUUUUUUUUAAUAGAAAUAAAAUCAGAGAACUGAUGGUGGGGAAAAAAUAAACCUGACAACAGGUGUCAUCCUUCCAUGAAUUUUUCCAGUUUGCACUGGUU